rnacentral:tRNA from 1 species
GGCUCGUUGGCCGAGAAUACAGGCAUCUGCCUGCAAAGCAGACUACAUUGGUGAGAUUCCAAUACGAGCCUCCA